rnacentral:rRNA from 1 species
UACGAAGGGGGCUAGCGUUGCUCGGAAUCACUGGGCGUAAAGCGCACGUAGGCGGCUUUUUAAGUCAGGGGUGAAAUCCUGGAGCUCAACUCCAGAACUGCCUUUGAUACUGAGAGGCUUGAGUCCGGGAGAGGUGAGUGGAACUGCGAGUGUAGAGGCGAAAUUCGUAGAUAUUCGCAAGAACACCAGUGGCGAAGGCGGCUCACUGGCCCGGUACUGACGCUGAGGUGCGAAAGCGUGGGGAGCAAACAGG